GACGAACGCUGGCGGCGUGCCUAAUACAUGCAAGUCGAGCGAGCGGCGGACGGGUGAGUAAUGUCUGGGAAACUGCCUGAUGGAGGGGGAUAACUACUGGAAACGGUAGCUAAUACCGCAUACCAUCAGCUGUGCCCAGAUGGGAUUAGCUAGUAGGUGGGGUAAUGGCUAACCUAGGCGACGAUCCCUUGAGGGUCUGAGAGGAUGACCAGCCACACGGGAACUGAGACCCGGUCCAUACUCCUACGGGAGGCAGCAGUGGGGAAUAUUGCACAAUUGGCGCAAGCCUGAUGCAGCCAUGCCGCGUGUGUGAAGAAGGCCUUCGGGUUGUAAAGCACUUUCAGCGAGGAGGCGUUACUCGCAGAAGAAGCACCGGCUAACUCCGUGCCAGCAGCCGCGGUAAUAC
rnacentral:rRNA from 1 species